rnacentral:misc_RNA from 1 species
GUGGUGCUUGGCGUAUGGCGUCCGCGGGAUCCCCUGCCCAGUGCAGCCGACCGCGUGCGCCGCGCCUCUUCAAUUUGACCCUCUCGGAGGGCAAGUUGGGAUGGUCUGUGCGGAAUAGUCGGUGCGCGGCAAUCUCUUGACCCGAAUGCGAUAUGAUUCGGCUCUCCCCCACCCGCGCUGCGCGGAUGCGGCGGGGAGGCGACCAGCUGCGGCGCUCCGAGCAUCCCACAGGCGGCCCUCGGGCGGCCCGUCGGGGUCUCGGUAAGCCGGCGUGCUUUGCGGAUGCGGUGGAUGGGAUGAUGGCGUCGGGGCGUUUCGCGCCCCGUCGUCUGACGACGCGCGGUCGGCCCCCGAGGCGACGGCGCGGGGCGCGCGCGGAAGCGCGCUUGCCCCGCUGUCGCGCGGGCGGCCGGCGCGCGACAUUCGGGAACGAGCGCCGGUGCUGGGCCAAUUGGCGCGGCUGCGCCGCGAGGCGCGGGCGGCGUCGUGCGGCCCCGCGCGCGGGCGUCGUGCGGAGGAACGCUACCUGGUUGAUN